AUAGGUAAAGUGAACGGAAAAAACCUAAAUCUCACACUCACGUCUCUCAAACACGGCAGCAGCACACCUUCCCUCACUCUCACACUCUAAUCAGCACAUUUUAUUUCUACCAUCGGCAACCGCUCUUCUCUAACACCAUACAUGCAGCUAGCAGCCGCUCCUCUCGCACCACACAACCAUCGUCAACCCUUAGCACAGUCGCCUAUCAGCUACCGGCCAUUCGUCACAACCCCACAACAGCCAUCCUUCAGUCGCAAUCAUCGCAGGCCGUCGGCCACCACACAAGGAUUCUUAGUUGGAUUCUUAGUUUCUUCUUUUUUCUCUCACAACAAAUAUUAUAGAUCUAGAUAGGGGUGGGCAUAAACCCACAACCCAUGGGUUUAUCCAAACUCAAACCAAAUUAAAUGGUUUGGGUUGGGUAAAUCAUGAAAAUGGGUUAGAUGUGGGUUUUAUGUAGAAAACCAUUUCAUUAUGGUUUGGGUAUGGUUUACCCAUGAGUUAUGGACAAAACCCCAACACACAAAUUUUUCAAAUGCAAUAAAUGAAAACAAAAUAAAUGAACACAAAUAAGUGAAAGACCACCAUUAAAUUUUUUACGGCGUGAUCAAUUGUCAACAGUUAGAAAAUGAAAAUAACAGUAAAAAUAAAUUUAAAUUAAAUAAAUAUUGUUGUAAAUAACAUAAAUUUUUUUCCUUAUUUACAAAAAUAAUUCCUCCGACAUGGAAGGAUCAUCAUAGAAAGAGCAGGAGACUCUACUAAGAAGAAAUAACAUAAAUUUCUUCUUAUUUACAAAAUUUUUUUCUUAUAAUUAUUUAUUUUAU
rnacentral:lncRNA from 1 species